rnacentral:rRNA from 1 species
AGGGCACCACCAGGAGUGGAGCCUGCGGCUUAAUUUGACUCAACACGGGAAAACUCACCCGGCCCGGACACCGUAAGGAUUGACAGACUGAGAGCUCUUUCUUAAUUCGGUGGGUGGUGGUGCAUGGCCGUUCUUAGUUGGUGGAGCGAUUUGUCUGGUUAAUUCCGAUAACGAACGAGACUCUGGCCUAUUAAAUAGACGAUAUAUCUAUCUAGUAUACCGCGCUUCUUAGAGGGACAAGCGGCGUCCAGCCGCAUGAAAUAGAGCAAUAACAGGUCUGUGAUGCCCUUAGAUGUCCGGGGCUGCACGCGCGCUACACUGAAAGAAUCAGCGUGCGUUUUACCUAGUUCGGAAGAACCGGGUAACCCAAGUAAAUUCUUUCGUGCCUGGGAUAGGGAAUUGCAAUUAUUUCCCUUGAACGAGGAAUUCCCAGUAAAUGCGGGUCAUAAGCUCGCGUUGAUUACGUCCCUGCCCUUUGUACACACCGCCCGUCGCUACUACCGAUUGGAUGACUUAGUG